AGUUUUGCGCAGUGGCAGUAUUAUAGCCCAUAAGGUUUAUCUGAGGUGCCAUUAUUGCUAAUUGAAAACUUUUCCCAACUUAA
rnacentral:snRNA from 1 species